GGGGGCAACCCUGAUCCAGCAAUGCCGCGUGAGUGAAGAAGGCCUUCGGGUUGUAAAGCUCUUUUGUCAGGGAAGAAACAGCAGCUCUAACACAGUUGUGAAUGACGGUNCCUGAAGAAUAAGCACCGGCUAANUACGUGCCAGCAGCCGCGGUAAUACGUAGGGUGCAAGCGUUAAUCGGAAUUACUGGGCGUAAAGCGUGCGCAGGCGGUUAUAUAAGACAGGUGUGAAAUCCCCGGGCUUAACCUGGGAAUUGCAUCUGUGACUGUAUAGCUAGAGUGUGUCAGAGGGGGGUAGAAUUCCACGUGUAGCAGUGAAAUGCGUAGAUAUGUGGAGGAAUACCAAUGGCGAAGGCAGCCCCCUGGGAUAACACUGACGCUCAUGCACGAAAGCGUGGGGAGCAAACAGGAUUAGAUACCCUGGUAGUCCACGCCCUAAACGAUGCUGACUAGUUGUUCGGGAUUUUAUCCUGAGUAACG
rnacentral:rRNA from 1 species